GUCACAAUGGUUAUAGUUGGGUUAGAGAACUUUUUCGUCCAUCACAUUCAGUUUUGAUUUCACAAAUGAACAAAACAAAAAAAUAAAACUACUGCACUGUUUAGUUAAAUAAACCAUUUGUAUUUUUAACAAAAAUAAUCUAUUUUAUUUUGAAAGCAUUUUAUAGAGUACUUAUAGUUGCAGUAGGUUGUCAAAUCAAAUUCCUUUUCUCAGCCCUAUUGCUUGGGACUUACAAUGAAUACCUUUAGUAAGUAUUGAAUGGAAUAAAUAUAAGCAAAAUAUAAGCUGGUUUGGGUAGAAUCAUACAACUUUAUUUGUUAAGUGUUUAUGUAAUUGUUUACUGCAAAAGGCCUUAAGGGAAUGAUUAUACUCACCGGGACAACUACAAU